rnacentral:lncRNA from 1 species
UAGGGUGGGGCAGGAACAAAUCACAACGGUGGAAUGUCAUCAGUUAAGGCUGUUUUUACUUCUUUUGUGGAUCUUCAGUUACUUUAGGCCAUCUGGAUGUAUACGUGCAAGUCACAAGGGAUGCGAUGGCUUGGCUUGGGCUCAGAGGCCUGACACUAGUUAUUAUAAAAUGUACUUUCAGCAGUCUUCUGGGACUUGACUACCUUGUGGAUUGUACUAGAAAUGUCAGGUAUGGUGACUGCUCUGCCCACCACUCUAAAUGAAACUGUCCCCCCACAGUCUCUGUUGCCCAGGUGUCCUAUGUCCCUCGUCACAGCUGAAUGGACCAAGGCAGAUGUGCUAUCAAGGACAGCCAAUCACAAGUGAGCAGUAAUCUCUGAUAUGCUUUGGUGCAAAAAGCUGAGUUGAGUCAACAGUUAUUUAAAUUUGUGUGCAGUCACUUCCGUUUGCUGGGGAAUGGCGUGGUGAGGGAAGAUUGAUAUAAGUUACCUCAUAUCUGGGUUACAUGGAUAUAUAUCCUACAGUUGCUUAAAAUACAUUUCAGGAUUCUUUGGUUUGCAGCAUGUGUUUUGGAAAGGACAGGGAGAGGAAAUUUAAGAGGUGGAGUGAAAUCCAGGGACCCUUCACCUGCCACAAAAAGUGACGGGGCUUUCUGGUGUCAAGCAGGUGACAGGCUGUGCAGGGCUUUGCCCCUGAGGGUUCGACAGACAAAAGCAAGGCAGCUGUCACAUAGGGGAAGGAACACAAGGCAAAGGGUUUGAGUCUUCACUCUGCCGAUUAUGAGAUGUCUGCCAUUGGACAAAAAUGUGUGUGUGUGUGUGUGUGUGUGUGUGUGUGUGUGUUAAUUUGUGGAGAUGGGGUCUCACUAUGUUGUCUAGGCUGGUGUCAAACUCCUGGCCUCAGUCAAGUGAUCUUCCUGCUUCAGGCUCCCAAAGCAUUGGUAUUACAGGUGUGAGCCACUGCACCUGGCCAAAAAUAUAAGUUUUCAAAGAGUCAUCUAAAUAUCUGUGUCAAUUAGCAAUAAAUUGAUAAUACUAGGUUGGCACAAUAGUAAUGGCAAAAACUGCAACUACUUUUGCAGCAAGCUAAUAAUACCUCUAGGUGUCUGUUUUAUAUGUUUUAUUAUGCAGAAUAAUUCUUAAGGAGCUUCUUCCAAAUGUAGGUUUUGUUUAGAAUCUACCCCAUGAAGAUUCUGCUUCAGUGGUUGUGGACAUUCACCUAGACCUGGGGUGAGUCUGACUCAGGUCGUCCUUGGACCACAUCUUGAAAAAUUCCGCUCUGGAUGAAGAAACUAGAAACAGGAGACAAACUCCAUUCCAAUUGAUGAGCUUCUUUCUGGCUGCUCAACUAGACCAUGGCCACCCUGCAGGAUGCUAGAAAGUCUGCAGAUUUGGGAGUCCCAGUCGCUUAAAGGAGCAAACACCAGCCUGGGUCUUCUCCAAGAUGGCAGGAUCAUCCCGCUUUAAGGCAAGAACCGAGCAGCAUCUUCUCACCUGCUCAUUCUUAGGUGUGACAGCGCUGACCUUGAACUCCUCAAGUGAUCC